rnacentral:rRNA from 1 species
CCUUUUUGGCGAGUACUGGACCCAACCGAGCCUUUCCUUCUGGCUAACCUUUCGCCCUUGUGGUGUUUGGCGAACCAGGACUUUUACUUUGAAAAAAUUAGAGUGUUCAAAGCAGGCCUUUGCUCGAAUAUAUUAGCAUGGGAUAAUAGAAUAGGACGUUAUGGUUCUAUUUUGUUGGUUUCUAGGACCAUCGUAAUGAUUAAUAGGGACGGUCGGGGGCAUCAGCAUUCAGUUGUCAGAGGUGAAAUUCUUGGAUUUACUGAAGACUAACUACUGCGAAAGCAUUUGCCAAGGACGUUUUCAUUAAUCAAGAACGAAAGUUAGGGGAUCGAAGAUGAUCAGAUACCGUCGUAGUCUUAACCAUAAACUAUGCCGACUAGGGAUCGGGUGUUGUUCUUUUUUUGACGCACUCGGCACCUUACGAGAAAUCAAAGUCUUCGGGUUCUGGGGGGAGUAUGGUCGCAAGGCUGAAACUUAAAGGAAUUGACGGAAGGGCACCACCAGGAGUGGAGCCUGCGGCUUAAUUUGACUCAACACGGGGAAACUCACCAGGUCCAGACACAAUAAGGAUUGACAGAUUGAGAGCUCUUUCUUGAUUUUGUGGGUGGUGGUGCAUGGCCGUUCUUAGUUGGUGGAGUGAUUUGUCUGCUUAAUUGCGAUAACGAACGAGACCUUAACCUACUAAAUAGUGCUGCUAGCUUUUGCUGGUAUAGUCACUUCUUAGAGGGACUAUCGAUUUCAAGUCGAUGGAAGUUUGAGGCAAUAACAGGUCUGUGAUGCCCUUAGACGUUCUGGGCCGCACGCGCGCUACACUGACGGAGCCAACGAGUAUUAACCUUGGCCGAGAGGUCUGGGAAAUCUUGUGAAACUCCGUCGUGCUGGGGAUAGAGCAUUGUAAUUAUUGCUCUUCAACGAGGAAUUCCUAGUAAGCGCAAGUCAUCAGCUUGCGUCGAUUACGUCCCUGCCCCUUGUACACACCGCCC